GAUGAACGCUAGCUACAGGCUUAACACAUGCAAGUCGCGGGACCGGCGCACGGGUGAGUAACGCGUAUCCAACCUGCCCUUCACCACGGGAUAACCCGGCGAAAGGCGGACUAAUACCGCAUGGUGAAGGAUGGGGAUGCGUCCGCUUAGCUUGACGGCGGGGUAACGGCCCACCGUGGUUACGAUCGGUAGGGGUUCUGAGAGGAAGGGCCCCCACACUGGAACUGAGACACGGUCCAGACUCCUACGGGAGGCAGCAGUGAGGAAUAUUGGUCAAUGAGCGUAAGCCUGAACCAGCCAAGUGGCGUGCAGGACGACGGCCUAUGGGUUGUAAACUGCUUUUAUGAGGGGAUAGGUACCGCAUGAAUAAGGACCGGCUAAUUCCGUGCCAGCAGCCGCGGUAAUAC
rnacentral:rRNA from 1 species